CCACAAUAACCUGCAUGUUACCUGAGUGGUAGUGGGAGGACCACAAUAACCUGCAUGUUACCUGAGUGGUAGUGGGAGGACCACAAUAACCUGCAUGUUACCUGAGUGGUAGUGGGAGGACCACAAUAACCUGCAUGUUACCUGAGUGGUAGUGGGAGGACCACAAUAACCUGCAUGUUACCUGAGUGGUAGUGGGAGGACCACAAUAACCUGCAUGUUACCUGAGUGGUAGUGGGAGGACCACACACCAUAUCAUCACGUGACUACAAGUUUCCUUCAAUAUGUUUUUGUAUUAAUAUUAUAUCAAUAUUUGUGCAUAAAAAUGUGUUUUCACUGCAGUUUCCCGCAUAAUUAAAUUGCACCGACAGAAAAAGAUCCCACCAUGUCUAACGAACAAAAGAACUGUCGGUAUUUCUAAAAUUACAGCGUGUUUUUUUUUUUGAUGUUUGUGUGUUUCACCAAAUUAGCUUGAGAUGAUUGUACAGCAACACUGCAUCCAAGUUCCAUAACUUCUCAAAGACCUGUCAGUCAAGGCCAGCUCAUGAAUAUAAGCUCCCCGCCCACUCAGCCUGUCUUUAUAAACUUCCUGGUAGUUAGCCAUGAGAGGAAAACAGAUGAUAAAUUCUAUCCCCCCACCCAAAAAAAACAUUAUGGGUCGUAUUUUAACCACUGAUAGGGUUAUUUUACACGGGAAUCAGAAUUACUGUUUGGGAGUUUUAGUAAACUCAGCAAAAAAAAAAGAAACGUCCCUUUUCCAGGACCCUGUCUUUCAAA